rnacentral:rRNA from 1 species
GACAGAGGGUGCAAACGUUGUUCGGAAUUACUGGGCGUAAAGCGUGUGUAGGCGGUUUGGCAAGUCGGACGUGAAAGCCCCGGGCUCAACUCGGGAAGUGCGCUCGAUACUGCCAGACUUGAGUGUCGGAGAGGUUGGUAGAAUUCUCGGUGUAGAGGUGAAAUUCGUAGAUAUCGAGAGGAAUACCGGCGGCGAAGGCGGGUUGCUGGGCUGAUACUGACGCUGAGGCGCGAAAGCCAGGGGAGCGAACGGG